AGAAUAGGGUGGAUUUGAAAAGAGACAUGAUCCUGUACAUACUGAGUUGGAAUGUGGCAGCAGCUCCUCUGAUAUUACCAUUGUAGACAAGAAUACCAACACAGACACUAUAAGAUGACAGACAAGAGUACUAUUACUGCUUUGUUAUGUUUAGCGGUAUCAGGGAAAGUCAGUAUUUAACUAUUAUAAUGACAUUUAUUUUUGAUUGUCAUGAUUAUAGGGUACUAUACAACAGAGAAUGAUAACGAUGAAUUAUAUUCUGAAAGAGUGAAGGUGUUGAUGAAACUUCGUAAAUAUA